rnacentral:tRNA from 1 species
GUAGCUCAGGCUGUUAAGUGUUUGGCUGCUAACCAAAAGAUUGUUGGUUCAAACCCACCC